rnacentral:rRNA from 1 species
UACAGAGGGUGCGAGCGUUGUUCGGAAUCAUUGGGCGUAAAGCGCUUGUAGGCGGCCUGCCAAGUCGCGUGUGAAAUCCCCUGGCUCAACCAGGGAAGUGCGCGCGAAACUGGCGGGCUUGGAGUGCCGGAGAGGGUCGCGGAAUUCCCGGUGUAGAGGUGAAAUUCGUAGAUAUCGGGAGGAACACCAGUGGCGAAGGCGGCGACCUGGACGGACACUGACGGCUGAGACGCGAAAGCGUGGGGAGCAAACAGGAUUGAGA